UCCAGGCUCCUCAUAUACUGAAUUAAGAGAGGUAGGUACCCACUUCUUUGUUGUCCUCUGGAAGUUCCCCUUCUACAUAAAACCUCCUGGCCAAGGGACCUCUAGGAAGUAGCUAUCACUCUCCCAUUGUGGUCUUCCAGCAGGGAUCUGCACAGGCAGAGUCUCAGUAGUGAGAAGAUAUGUGGCUUUUUAAAGAGUUAUAUCACUAAAUCUAGGACAGUUGUGCACCUUUGAAAUCACAGCUAUGCUUAGGGAUCAGUGUCUUUGUGAGGAGGCUGCAGGCAAAGGUGAUCAGCUGAUCUUUUACACAGAAGACAGUCUGGAUUGAAGGGGGUCAGAUCAGGAGCUUGUCUGUAAAUGAAAGCCCUGCCCUCACUAGGUUACACUCCAGUGGGAAAAAAAGGCAGAGUGCACUUCUCUGGUAACCUCACUUAUUAGGCAAUUUUAAUAUAGCUGUAAUAAGCUCCCUUCAAGCCAGACCUUGGAUAAGGCCUCAGAAAUGCUCAGCUGCCAUGUGGCUUGUAGCAAAUAUCACAAAGUAUUGAUUUAUUCCAUAACCACUCCCUGCCAUGUGUUAUGUAAAUAACGAUGUUUGAUAGAGUGUGCGGUUCUUCGUGCUGUAAUGCAGAGGUCUUGGGAAGGUCUUGAGUCAAAAGAUGAAAGGCCUACUGUCUCCAGUUGUCCUCAGGAUGUGUGCAUGACACCGCAGCUGCAUCCACAUGCGCCAAGCCCUUCCGAGUGCAUUUAAUAAUCAUGAUUUUACUAUUAUAUCUGGUUCUUCUCUGGCUGGGCAUAAUCUUCUAAUUACAUAGCUUUGAAUUUUCUCAGAUUGUCUCUAUCUGUAGCACUGUUAGUAGUUCUCUACUGGUAAAACUAAAUUCACAGUGCUUUCAUUGCAUAUGCUUAUAUCUCUACAGAUUUAAGUUAGAAAAAAACAUGCAGUCUGAAAACACUGCUAAUUGUACCUCAGCUUGUAUGUUGCAGAGCAGCCUCAUUCUGUUUUCCCACAGCCAAGGGAAGGCCUCAAGGCCAAAAUGUCACCUCAGAUUUCUUUUGAUCUCAACUUAUAUUUUAUUAACCCUUUUAACUUCACUGAGGGUGUGCAAGGAAACAUGUAUAUUCCCUUUCAUAUAAACCCAGCAUUGUCCUUACAUCUUGCGUGCAAAUGUAUGGACAGUUUUUCAUACAAAGGAUUAUUUAGAUGUAAUCUAUAUCCCUUGUGAGUUACAGAUAAGAAGGGGUGGGCAGCAUUUAUUCUGUAAUGUUUAUGAUUUAUUUGCCUUUUAUUUUCUCUCUUUAACUCCAUCCAAAAUAUUUCUGAGAGUCUUAGUGAAAUAUAAUACUAGAAGCCUUUAAUGGCACCUUUUCAUCUCACAAUUGCAGAGUGCUUUUCAGGGCUUAAUUAAAUUUUACAGCGUGCCUUUCAGGUGAAUGUAAUUUGAAUGCAUCCAUUCCUGUUUGUGAGGAAACUGAGUCAGGGAGUGGUGAUUAGCUCAAGUCUGUGAGCCAAAUAAAAUGUUCGGGUAAGAAUUAUGGCCCAAGAGAUUAGGAGAUUUGAUAAUUUCAGAAAAAUUCGGUUCUUAAAAAUUUAAUCAGACAGACAACAAAAAUGAUGGCUGCCUGAUUGGCAGAGAAGCCAAAUAGCUUCCCUAGACUUUUCCUUUCCUUAGCCUUUGUGAUGACUAGUGCUUUAUGCCUCAGUCCAAUGUUGGCCUCACCAAUCUUUGAGCACACCAGAUGCUUGCUAAGUCCUCCAAUAUGAUCAGGAGAAAAGGAGUGAGUGGCUACACUCUACCUCUGCCAUCUUCUCAGCAAAUGGUUCAGGCAUUUCACCCUUUCCACUGAGAGAACUCUUAGGGUGGGACCUGAAUGCAUCCCCCACCUCCUACAGCCAUUGUCUCCUACAAUAUAAACUCUGCAAUGUUAGUUGCAAAAGGCCUGAAGCUCCCUGCCUGGUGGUCAAGGGCAAACUUUUCAUCCAUCUCUUCACUGGAAUGUAUGGAAAGCAGCCUGUCCCUCUUCUGUGGGUAAGGAGGUAGAAGGGGAGAAAGCUGCUGAGACAGGAGUGUUCAUUUAUUCUGCACAUGUAUCUUUUGAAGGUCCUCUACAGGUUCCGUCUUUGGCAGUUACUACCCAAAUAUGGUUACUGAUGAUGCUGUAGGAUAGGCCAUAAAGCAUCAUAUGGGAAUGGGUUAGGAUAUUAGAAGAUAUUAUUUCUGGGCCCUCAGUGUUCAUAAGUCAAAAAUCAUACUUGCUUUGGCCAGAGACUGACUGCAAGGGGAGUGGAGCUCCACGAGUGUCUCUCCCUUGUUGUGUGAUGGGCUCUGCAGAGGGGAUGCCUUUAUCCAGCCUGUCUGGCAGGCCUAGAACUCAUAUAUGCUGCAAUUUAAAAAGCAGGGUGUGGCCUUUUCUUUGAAGGUGUGUGAAAGAAGACUGAAAUCAAGCACGUGAGAGAUCCCACAGAUAACAGUACACAGGCUGAGAGCACUUUGUACUUGCUGUCAUAGUGAGAAAAGGUUAUCUGGCUGUGAGACAGGCUCAAAACAAACAGAUUGAUGUUUUUAAUGAGCUAAAGAAUCAGUCUUUGGGAAAUUCAUUCUCCCACUAGAGAAGCCAAAGAUUGAAUAAUGUCCUUCUGUCACCAGACACCAGUCUCAGAUCUGGAGGACACUUGUAGUGCUUCACUGCUUGGCUGUGCUACAGCCUCAGCCUGCAGUGGGCAAGCACUGCUGCAUCUGGGCUUUCCAAAGCCUGAGCAGGGCAUAGCAACCACAAUGCCUGACUCCAGAUCCUCCACACAGGUUAUGGAAUGUGGUACACAGUAUGUUUCCAGUGUGCUGUGACAGUCAGUCAGUAGCUGCUAAGCAUGCAUAAUGAAGGCAAAGAGAAGUUUUCUGUUUCCAUUGUCAGCCCAGUAUCUUCAAAGUACUUACUGGGUGUGAAAUGGCUCCUCUUGGUCGUGCAGAGGCCAAUCUUCCAUUGCUGUAUUAUGAAAAAGGCACUGCAUGGUUUGUGUUUUUAUUGGAGUCGUAUGAUCAGAGUACAAAUGAGGUCAGGCAGCUCUUGAACAGGUUUUGCCACUUACUGUUGAUCUUCUUUCUAAUAACUUUAUUUUCUCCUUCAUGUUGAUCUCUUCUAAUAGUGAAAUCAGCUGUGGCCAUGGGCACAGGACGUACUUUGACAGCAGCAGGACUCAGCUGACAGACUCUGGAAUAUAUCAUUUCAGUAGCAUCAUCUGGGUCUAUAGCUGGCUCUUCUAUAACUCUGUUGAAGGUUGAAGGCCUUGUGUGUUCUUCUUUUCAUCUUCUUUUCACUACAUGAGCAUUGCACAGGGAUCUUAAAGUGUGUGUAGGAAAAUGGACCUUGCAGACUUUACUUCAGGGUUAGAAACACAGCUUUUUUUAAUUUACAAGUGCUUGGUUGUGUGUAAAUCUGUUUCACUACCCAAACUUCACAUCAAAGUAUUUGUGCUGUGCUGUACUUGAUGAGAGCAAGAGUGUGUGUUUGUUACUGCAUAAGCGAAACAGAAAUUCCUUUGGGAACAGGGAGACAGAGACCUGAACACAGCACACCAUAGAGAAUUUGUUGCUAAUUCAGUGACAGAAAGUUUUGGGGAUUUUACAUUAUUGACAUUCCUCCAGUUGAAAUCUUCUGCAACAAAUGCCAUUUUGAACCUAUUUAUGAUUGAGGCUAUUGCACAAGGGUUAUUAGGCCCCUUUGAAACCUCUUUGUGGGGUUGAGUUAGCGACUUGGGAGACUCCAGGCCACCAGGAUGGAGUGCAGAAAGUGCCCAGAAGCCUAAUCUGCCUCUCACAGAGCACAAACACUCCCAUUGACCCCACUGCUUGAAUGCCUCUGCUGUCAGAAGAGAGCCAUGGCAAGAAUUCAGUCAUGUAUAUCAGGAGGAAUUUCUGCUGAUCCCACACUGGGGAGAGCAAAAGAAAUUCUCUGUGAGUGGAGAGAGUGUCCUCAAGAUCAGGAUGCAUUCCUGCCCUUCAGUGAGAAUGAUUCCAGGAGGUUGUAAAAAGUGUUUCGUUUUCAGGAAGAUCAGCCACACUUUUUGUUAGUCCUUUGAAGAUUAUUUUUGCUCUGUAAAGGCUUCUAAAAAAUGGCAAACCAGCACAGACACAUACAAAAAAAAAGGAGAACACAAGGUUAUGGGAAGAAGCUGAGAUUCUAUCUAUUUUAUUGAAUGAUCCUGGAAUACAGUAACAAGGGGACAGUUAUGUGCUUAAUCAUCUCACUCUUACAAGUGGAAACGAUGCUUGACAACAGAAUGUACUGAUAUGAAUGUAAGAGUAGGGGAAAGGAAAAAAACCUAAGGAACAAAAUAAGCAUAAUAUGUAAACAAUAUUCUGCUAGGAGUAUUUGUAGUGACAGAUGCUUUGGUAGAUAGAGCAAAAAAUAUAUUCCUUUCUCCUAAAGGGAAAUAGGUGGAAGUCCAUCAAAUAAACUUUGCCCUGGCAUAUUUUAUUUUUGCAUGGAGGAAAAGGAAAAGAUCGUUUUUGAUGUCAGAUUUUUUUUCUGCUGUUUUUUCCCCUCUCUGCUAUAUGAGAAAAAAAAGAUCAGGCAAGAUAAGCCAGGCAAAAGGAAAAAAAAA
rnacentral:lncRNA from 1 species